ACGAAUCAAUUAACUUUCAGUUUUUUUUAAAUCCUUGACUUUUUUUCUUCUCACAAUGUCUACUAUCACCAAUCUCAUGAUCUGUUGCAGCUUAUCUAACGUACCUCAAAACUUUUUAAAGUUCAAAGCUUUAAUCCAAGCUAGAAAUCUCAACCAACAAAGUCCUUUGCAAAAAAACCUACAAUUUCUCAGUAUUCCUUAAACCCCACAACCAUAAGCCUUUAAUUCCCCUAUUUCAGCAAAAGGGUGGUCUUCGAAUAUGUCAAAGUACCUUAAAACACCCAGAAUUCUGAAGAAGAAACGGGUCAGGGUAAAGGGCUUUCCGAUGAUAAUAAUAAAGAAGGGAUUGGACAAUCUCGAUUUUGCUUCUUGUGUUGUGGGGUGUUCUCAUGUACUAUGUUUUCAAAUGCACACCUGACCAGAUCCCGCUUGAGUUUCAGAUGCUAUGUUCCGAUGAUAAUAAUAAAGAAGGGAUUGGACAAUCUCGAUUUUGCUUCUUGUGUUGUGGGGUGUUCUCAUGUACUAUGUUUUCAAAUGCACACCUGACCAGAUCCCGGUAUUUUCCAGACCCAACUUCUUCUUCUUCUUGUUUUCUUCAAAUUGUAAAUGAAUUCUUGUGUCUCAGAUUUGGAAUUGAGAUGGAAUUUAGUAAAGCGGCUAUAUCACUGCUCAAAAUAGCUUGUUUUUUCUUGGAUGCUUUAGGAUUCUGAUUUACUUGCUGUAGUUGUUGUUAAUCAUCUUCUGAACUGAAAUAUUAUCGCUAAAGCUUGAGUUUCAGAUGCUAUGUUCAUUGGUUACUCAUUGUUCUCCAGAUAAGUUUCUGCAUUCAUUUUUGGCGUGUCUUUGUUUUGCGUGCUAUUUAUAACUUCUUAAUGAAAUGUUAAUAGGAUGCCGCUUGUUUGUGAUAUCAUAUUAGGAAAAUAGUAAAUUUAGUUUUCAAUGUCAAGUUCACGGUAGUAAAUUAUGCAUUUUAAGUUUAAGAAGUUCAAACAGCAUAUAAACAGGAUGCUAAUUGCUACAUCACAUUCUCCUGAUUAUGCUGAAGGCUGACUGGCCGAGAGUUUACAUAUUUAGAAAUUCUUAAAAAAUCAAUUAAACAUUUGCAAUGAAUAGUUAACUCGAAUGUGAACUCGUUGCAGUCAAGGGACGUGUAUUUUUUAAAAAAGCUCCUGAUUUUGAAGGGAGAUGAUGGUUUUAGGAUGAAUAAAGUGCUUGUCUCACUAUGGUACAUCAUGGGAUUGUGGCCAUUAGUGUACAGCAUGCUGCUGCUUCCAACAGGCAGAAACUCAAGUAACAACAUUCUCACCUGGCCUUUUCUAGUACUUUCACGCUUUGGUGGUGCAUAUGCUCUUUUACCAUAUUUUGUUCUUUGGAGUCCACCAUCACCAGUACUUCAGGGAAAGCAAAUUUGUAAGAUUGUAGAUCUUUUGAGUACUCAUGAUUGUUUGUGAUUGUCUUGUCAGUAUGUUGUUAUAAUCUCAUGGAAAUUGAAAUAUCUUCAUGCCGGGAAUCAAAUCUCGAUGUUGCAGAUUCACAUCAUGACCCUGGAUUUUACACUACCAAGGUUUACAAUAAUAUGACUGCCCGUAAGGGGUAAGACAAAAGAGAGACUAUGAUGCUCUUGCUUUGAAUCAAAGGUUCAAAACCUCUAAGAAAAGAUUAUAUGGCAUGACAAAGGUAUCGGAAUGCUUUUCCUAUUUGCAGGUACAACAAUGGUUUUUAGCUUCUUCCCUUAUCAUUGGUGCCAUUCAUAGGUCCCGCUCUUUAUCUUGUCUCACGGCCAUCACUGUCAGAUUUGCUAGUUACAGUUAGCAUGACUACGCCUUAACAAAAUUAGAAUUUAAGCUCCUCUUUUUCUUCUGGUGAACAUAUACCGACCUUGGAAAGAGGAAAGCUCAUAGUCUGAACAAGACAAUAGAAUUGAUAGUGAAUGGUGGCGCCCGACGAAAUGCAGCCGAUGCCACUUGAUAAAGAGUUUAUUCCUCUUACAGGUGCACCAGAAAAUCAUCACAUGAUAGUUUCCCACC